rnacentral:rRNA from 1 species
UACGGAGGGUGCAAGCGUUGAUCGGAAUCAUUGGGCGUAAAGCGUGUGUAGGCGGCCUGGUAAGUCGGGUGUGAAAUCCCGGGGCCCAACCCCGGAAGUGCAUUCGAAACUGCCUCGCUGGAGUCCCGGAGAGGAAGGCGGAAUUCCCGGUGUAGAGGUGAAAUUCGUAGAUAUCGGGAGAAACACCAGCGGCGAAGGAGGCCUUCUGGACGGUGACUGACGUUGAGACGCGAAAGCGUGGGGAGCAAACAGG